CUUUUUAAUCACUGUGUUACUUGACAUUCAGCAUGAAGAUUACAUAUUUCUUCUCAAAACACCAAUAGGCAAAAUAAACCUAGCAGGAGCCUUCAGAAAGAAAUAAGGGAAAGUCUGAAGAUGCUGAACUGGGAAUGAGAGAAAAAAAUGAUGAGGUAAAACUAACAAGUUGAUAUGAGCGGUGACAAGGUUUGGUAAUGCCAAGGAAAAUUUUCCCCUCAAGGUUGCAAAGACAAAAAAGCACCUAAAAAUAUACCACAGUCUUUUUGUUCUACUGACUGAGCACAAAUACCUUGGUUAUGACAUGUUGAGAUGUAAGAUCCCUCUUUAACCAUACAAUUAACUUGCACAAGCAGCAGAAAAAGUGCCCUUCUGCUUGCGUACGUGAUCCAAGCUGAGGUUAAAGCUCAGCUCUCUGCCCCUGUAUUUUGUCUUUGGCCUUUUUGUUCAGAAUGUGCAAAUUAUUGAGAAGUCUGGCAAUGAUUUUGCUGACGAGUGGAUCUGUGCACUGAAAUGUGAACUUGCAUCUCUGAUGUAAACCCACACAAGCUGCCCCUAAAUUACCCGAGCCCCAGCUCCCUAGGCAGCCUGCAUCCUCCCUCUGCUCUGCCACACUCUUGUAGGUCAAACCCAUGCUUGGCCUGAGCUUGUUGCUGAGCUAACUAACGUAUGUGCCUCAUAUCAUGAGGCUGCACCAGCAGGCAGUCCCAUAAAGUGUGCUGCUGCACAUUUGCAGAGCAAGCACAAAGGCCACCCUCCUGUGAGCACCCAGCAGGAGGCCAAAAAGUGCCUGCCUGCCCUGGCGCUGCUUGAGGGACCUUACUGUGGCUUGCAAAUACGGCAUUCUGCACAUACGUAUAGUUAGGCUGGUAUUUGGGAAAUACCAAACACCAAAACUGUGAUGAUUUUCUCUUUGUUUAACCAAUGUUUGUGUGACAUCUGCCCAGUUGCCCACUUACUGCCAGUUACUCAGAUCCAGUAAGCAGUGUAAAGCCUCCUCUUUGCAUGUCAUAAAAUCUGCAUAUUGGUUUAUUUCUGCUUGAAUAAUCUUCUAAGAUGUUUUCAUACUCCACUGAGGACUCCUCCACUCUCAGAAACCAAAAUACUUAAAAGCUGUGUCUUAUUUACACAUUACUUCUCACCCUUCGGUUCCUCUCUAGUGCAGUUAAAUGGCAGUAGUCACUGCUCUGCUAUUUUCUGCUGAUUGUGUUCCACACCAUGCUGUUGUCUUUAGGCUGGAUAUACCAUAUCCAUAAGCUUUUCCAUGUUUCCCCCUUCUUUCCAAUUUCAGCUUACUGACUGAAAUCCUGCUUUAUCUUACUGGUAUUGUGCCUGUUGAAAGGUUGUUUAAUUUACUCUUUCAUGUAGCUUGAAACUGCAAUUUUUCACACAGCCUAGUGUUAGUCCUUCAUUAAGAUGUUUAUGCUUGAAUCUUUGUUCCAACAAACUAUAUACAGCCAGUAAUAAAAAUAUGUGCAUAAAACUCUCAUACACACAUAUACAUACGCUUAUAUAUAUAAUAUAUAUAUAUAUACAUAUAUAUAUGCAUGGCUUUCUAAGACACUAAUGGCUACUGAAACUAUGCUCAGGUAACACCCAGCUGCACUCAAAUCCCUGCCAAUUGCACCAGGUCCACACAACCCCAGUGGGAGACGGAGUCAGUGCUGCUGCCUUUCCAGUCCCCACCCUGUCCUGCAUUUUGCCGAGGACCCAUCUGCAGGCAGCAUGGGGUGCAGGAUGCCCCUCGAUGCCCCGGUCCCCACAGCAUCGUGCCUCGCAGCCCAGUGCAUGGCUGUGCCUGCUCUGAGUGCCCCGGCCUGAAAGCAUCCUUUCACCCUUCUUUUUAAGCAUGAGGCGCCAGCCCACAAAAAAAGGAGCUCUCCCCGUCAAAAGACUCCUGUCCGUGCGCCAUGGCCUGUCCUGAAUGCGCUGCAUUCAGCAGCUCACCCUCUGUCUCCAGCUGCUGUCUGUCUGUCUGCUGCGAUUCGGCAAAAACCAGGCAAGCGCCAGGUAUAAAUCUCUCCCAGUCAAAGGAAAUAUUUAGCAGCAAAAAUGAGUAGGAAACAAAAGACUUCUCUGUUACUCACCCAAUCUUCUCACCCAGUGUAGCUCUAACUAAGGAGCAAGGCAACUUAGCGCUCUCUCCCCGGGCGGCCGUGCAAGAGGGACGGGGACGCCUGGGAGCCAGCUGAUGCACCCGCAUGGCCUCAAGCACUGGCCAGGACAUGCAGAGCCUGUUUCAUCAAGUCCAUCGCUUGAUUGAAACAACCAUGCAUAAACAUACAAAUAUGUUGUUUGUGAACACAGUCUUAACAAACUUUGGGCACCAGGAGAAGCAAGGAACAGAUUCAAUCUGCAGCCAACUGAGACAGAAGGAACGCCAGUUUGCCAAUCAGGGGUAAUGACUUACACCCAGCUGGUAUGCAGGCAUCCCUCCUCAGCUGUUGCAAAAUACAGUCCCACCCCCAGUCAGCAGAGUCAGUGCCGAUAAAUGGCUUCAAAGAGCACUUCUGACACAGCAGCUGGUGGGUAAAGAGCAUGGUGAUUGCUAGCCUCAAGAACAAGCAGUUUCAGGAGCCAUUCAUGCAGAAUAGACUCUUUGUGUGAAACCUGAACAAUCAUGAAGAAGACAUCAGUCUCCACUUCACUGAACCAAACAGAAAUCCUUUGUUCCAGAACAAAAGCUCACUGCGGUACCACAGAUGGGACAAGGCCCUUGGCUUGCUCGUGAGGAUUUUAUAAAGUCAGCUUCUGGUGGUCCAACAUCUUCCUGAAUACGCAGGAAUGCUUCUGUUCAUGUCUGAAAUGAUCUUUACUGAAGCAGGAACUAAACCUGACUGAAAAGGUAAAAAUCUUGAGUGAUUGUCAGCCAAUAAGUCAUUUCCAAAUUGUUGUAUUUGUGUCAGCAGCCUGAAGAUAAAAAAACAUCUGGGAGUUCAAAGAUCAAAAUUAAAAGCAGUGAAAACAAACUAAUUCACUGGAUGGAUGGCAUUAUUCUGAAAGCUGUCCUUGGCAUGCAUAUAAUGGUUGAUAGUAAAGUAAAAAGAAUGUGGAUUUUGUCUUAAAAUUUAAGUCUUUUUUUUUUUUUUUAGUGUAAAGAUCCUAAAUAGGAUGUGUGAUAUCUCCUCAAUAUAAUGAGGCUGUAAUUAAGCCAUUGAUGAAAUAAGGCAGGGGAGCGUGGGGGAAAUCUGUUCCUGUUUUUUAUUGCCUUUCUUUGUAUACUCAUCAGAGAUAAUGACAAUGAACCCAGUCACCCAGUGAAUUUCAGAUACUGGCACUGUCAGCAGCUGGGGUUGUGUCCUCUGAGAGGGACCUGGUUCUUACUGUGACAUUUCUUCCUGUGGAUUUUACUGCCUCGGUUCUAUUAUCCCAUGACUCGUAGUAAAGCCCAGUUGCAACCUUUGAUAAAAAAGCAAUGCAGAGACGUAAGAUGAAGACAACCAAUAAAAGAUAGGAAAAAAAUGAAUGAACUUUGAUGAACUUUGAACAAAGUGGCCUCUGCAAUGGCUUAAACUUUUGGCUGCUUUUUAUCACACUAGAAGUUGCAGGUGGCAGCAAAACAUGAUUCUGAUGUACAUUUCCCUUCAUUCAUCUUUAAGCUUGGGAGUAAUAACUAAGUGGAAAGUUGAAUAACACUGUAGAGUACUUUGAUUCUACAGAAAAUGUAAUGUUUCUUCAAGCCAAUCACUAACCAUGACUAAGCCCUGGUUUGUUACAAAAAGGUACUCCUGAAAGCAAGCAAUAAAACUGGGGAACAACUAUCCAGAAUGGAGAAUAACACUGCAGUGGCUAUUCAGCAUUAUAAUAGUGGCAAUUAAUUAUUCUCCCAAGCAGACAAGAAGAUAUUUGGGGAAAAUCUGUUAAGGACAGUUGUAAGCAUGACCUUGGACAGCGGAGGAUGAACUACUGCUUUAAUCUGGACAAACUGGACAAUGUACUAUGAAGUACAAUUACUAUGAAUUUCUUGCAAGAUGAAUGAGGAUAGGAAAUACUAAACUAUGAUUUGAUAGUGUGAUGCAUUGAAAAAAGUCAAUUUUUCAAACUAUCUACAGUCAGCUUCUACAGAGUAAUUUGUGCCGUGCAAUGUUAUAAUUUGGGUCAAGCAUAGCAGACACUGAUAAUCUCACAGAUUUUACUGCCUGAAUGAAAGAAAUCAACACAGUGACUCCUGUCUUCCAUGGUGUGGCUAACCUGUUUCUUCUAGUAAGACAGAAACUACGCAGUAGUCAACCCCUAAUGAUAGAAGAGAUUAAUAAGGUUUCUAACUGGGUGUCUCAUUCCAUUCCAUUUUUGCAGGAAGGAUGUAGAGUAUCUGAAAGGCCAAGCAAGUUUAACUACUGCAUUUUCUUUUCAGAUCUGGUGCUACUCCCUCAAUCAUGACUCAUAAAUUCAUGAAAAAAUGAGGCUUUGUUAACUUCAGUCAACUUGGAAGUACUUGUUCAGCUGCUGGGCUCUCUUGCACCUUCACUGCACAAAGACUACAUCUUUGGCUCUCUCUUUAGCAUUAAGUAUCUUCAUAUCUUCCUUCCCUCCACCUUUCCCAAUUCCUCACUUGGCCCUAGUGGGCUAUCUUCUGAAUGUCUAACAUCAGUCAUCUACACAAGAGUGGAGAUGGACAAGUGGGAAGGUUUCAACACUGCAUACAGGUCAGGAGUAAAGCACUAAAAAGGAAGAACGCCUAAAAUAAGGACCUCAGCAACCAUGGCUUUGUUCUGAAAAUUCUUUCUUCAGUUUGUAAACUGAAAAAACAGCAUUAGGAGCCUGGAAUAUAUGUAACUAUUAAAAUGAUGGAAGUUGCAAUAACUGGGCAAUUUUCUCUGGUAGUAACCCUCUGCCAAACACAGAGGAAAACUGUGGCAUGAGCCUCAAGGAAAUAGAAACAGUAGCCCUUGUACCCCUUUCACAGCACCUGAAUCACUUGAAACCACAGGGAUGAGGCAUCAGAUACUUGGCUGAAGGACUUUUGUGUGAGAAGGAUGAAGGAAUGGAGUAAGAGCCCUGACAGUCCCUUGCAUUGGUCAGAAUUUGCAAAUCACUUUGCUCUACUCCAGGUUGAUCUUUACCAAACCUAAUCAAUUGUGUACAUGGAAACUUCCUUACUCUGCAAAAAUGCAUGAAGGUGAGGGCAUAAAUUCCAGCAUUUCCGUUUCUUCUUGGUAUCUGACAGUCUAAUACAGAUUUCAUAAAAAGAGUGGUAACUGAAUUUAUUUUCUUUAGGAAAGGGAAAAAAACUUUUUUUUUGAAAGUAUGUUUCACAUACACUGCUUGUAGCAAAUACUAUUUUAAAAUACUUCUUUGCACACCCUCUGGCUACAGUGAUGAUGCCUGAGGCAGCUAAAAAUUAAAGCUUAUCUCCUGAGAGGUCCUGAAUGCAAUUUACUGUCUCUCAGCCUUGAAAUAAGACCUUUCAGGUGUUUCGUCUUCAAAGCUGAAAGAAAGCAAAGUUCAUAAUGCUUUUGUGGGUAUCGUGACUCAUUAAAUGCAUUCACAAUGGCUAAAUGUCAGUCUGUGCGGGAUUCCAGACAUCAAGCACCAAGAGAUGCAUACUGCAGGGAACUGCAGUGCAGUUGUAUUGAAUUAUGGAGUCAUAGAAUCAUAGAAUAUCCCGAGUUGGAAGGGACCCAUAAGGAUCAUCGAGUCCAACUCCUGGCACCACACAGGUCUGCCCAAAAAUUCAGACCAUGUGACUAAGUGCACAGUUCAAACGCUUCUUAAACUCCGACAGGCUUGGUGCAAUGACUGCUUCCCUGGGGAGCCUGUUCCAGUGCGCGACCACCCUCUCAGUGAAGAACCUUUUCCUGAUAUCCAGCCUGAACCUCCCCUGCCUCAGCUUGACACCAUUCCCGUGGGUCCUAUCACUGGUGAUUAAGGAGAAUAGAUCGGCGCCUGCCCCUCCACUCCCCCUCGUGAGGAAGCUGUAGGCCGCGAUGAGGUCUCCCCUCAGCCUUCUCUUUUACAGGCUGAACAGGCCAAGUGACCUCAGCCGCUCCUCAUACGUAUUCCCUUCUAGGCCCUUCACCAUCUUUGUAGCCCUUCCCUGGACACUCUCCAACAGUUUAAUGUCCUUUUUGUACUGUGGUGCCCAGAACUGCACACAGCAGUUCUCCAACUAUGGACACUCCUCUUCUGCCUCCACGAGGUUUCAUGAGUAAAACUUUUACAUGUUCCUUGGUGUUUCUUGAUAUGCAAACUUAAAUCACGUUGCCAGUAACACAAGCUAAGGAUGCCUAGUAAGACAUCAGUCAGCCUCGCUGCAGAGACACAAACAGCUUUAAUUCCUGUCCUUUACCAACAAUUGCUUUAUGUUUCACAGUUUAGCAGGAAAACGUAGCUGGAAACGUCAAAUACACCUGUUUCUUACAUAUACAAGAACCCUACUCUGUAUAAUUCAUAAUGUGAAAAAUAAAAGGUAAAAGCAGAAAGUGAUACGAAAUGGCGUAUUUAUUAAACUACAGAUUGAAAAUUUGAGAAAACUGAGAACCAGGUAGUUCUUGGUG